rnacentral:rRNA from 1 species
UACGGAGGGUGCAAGCGUUAUCCGGAUUCACUGGGUUUAAAGGGAGCGUAGGUGGCUUUGUAAGUCAGUGGUGAAAUAUUGCGGCUCAACCGCAAAACUGCCAUUGAUACUGCUUAGCUUGAAUCACGUCGAGGUGGAUGGAAUAAUACAUGUAGCGGUGAAAUGCUUAGAUAUGUAUUAGAACACCGAUUGCGAAGGCAGUUCACUAGGCGUGUAUUGACACUGAGGCUCGAAAGCGUGGGGAUCAAA